UACAGAGGUCUCAAGCGUUGUUCGGAUUCAUUGGGCGUAAAGGGCGCGUAGGCUGCGGGGCAAGUCGGGUGUGAAAUCUCAGGGCUCAACCUGGGAAUGGCAUUUGGGACUGCAAGGCUGGAGUGCGGCAGAGGAGACUGGAAUUCCUGGUGUAGCAGUGAAAUGCGUAGAUAUCAGGAGGAAUACCGAUGGCGAAGGCAGGUCUCUGGGCUGACACUGACGCUCAUGCACGAAAGCGUGGGGAGCGAAACAAGG
rnacentral:rRNA from 1 species